GUGAUAUUUCUAUUCAAGGUUAUCAUAACAUCAGAAUCUUAUACUGGCCCAUGCCUACUGUCAGUAUCAACAACAUACUGAUUCAUGACCUCAGAACCUAGAGAGCUGAUUGAGAUGCACCCCUUGCCUUCUUGAAGCAAACACUGUUUUGUAAAUAUUUAUUCUCAUCACAUUCCACAGUCACACCUCAUUCUCGAGCUGUCAGGUAGGUUGGAUUCUAUCAUCUUAGUCAUUUUUAUUUGGUCGAUUUGAAAUCCCCUUGUAAGAGUAAUGAAAUUAAUUUCUGAUUUUCAUGCAAGUUCGGGUGACACAUUGGAGAGGUUUAGACAUUCCAGACCUGGGAUGACAGUGAGUAGACUUCUCUGCUAUAUUUUAGUAUAUAGUUUGUUUAGUUAAAUGUGACCAGUUAUCAAGACAAGUGUUUAUAACCCUGUUUUACAUCUCAUUUGGUCUAGACACCAACAGGGUCAUCCAUCUCUAUUUCAACUGUGAGCUCAGUACCAGACCGCAGUUUCAGGACACCCAGCUCAGUUAACACUCCCACAAGAUCGCAACAUACAACUCCAAACAACUUUCAUUUCCAGCUUCUGGCUAGACCCUACCUCCAGUCUCCAAGACCAUAACUAGUAGUCACAUGGAUUAUUAUUAUAAUCUUCCAAGUUAUUGGAAAGGCGUUUAUCAGUUGUACAUUACAUAAAAUCCAUUGCAGUGGGUAAAGUAUUUGGCCUUUUUUGUAUCUGAAAAUAUCAUCUAAAUGUUUUACUUGUUUUUGAAUUAGCAUAUUGCAAGGAUUAAAAUGACACAUAUGGACAAAAUAUAACUUGCUUUUAUUUUACAUUGUAAUUGAAAUCGCAUUUAACUGAGGAAAAACAAUAAAUGUGUUAAUAAGAAAUGUCAGUUUUUGCGCGCU